rnacentral:rRNA from 1 species
UACAGGGGGUGCAAACGUUGCUCGGAAUUAUUGGGCGUAAAGCGCGCGUAGGCGGCUACUUAAGUCGGAUGUGAAAGCCCACGGCUCAACCGUGGAGGGUCAUUGGAAACUGGGGGACUUGAGUACAGAAGAGAAGAGUGGAAUUCCACGUGUAGCGGUGAAAUGCGUAGAGGUGUGGAGGAACACCAGUGGCGAAGGCGACUCUUUGGUCUGUAACUGACGCUGAGGCGCGAAAGCGUGGGGAGCAAACAGG